rnacentral:lncRNA from 12 species
AAUGAAUGAGGGCAUUAAGCAGGGGUGCAGCGGGAUCCCCUGGGGGCGGUUUGAGGCUGGGUUCCUGCACAGGACAGGGGGCACCUGAUGGGGCAGGGCCUCAGAGCCACCCACUGGGCCCUGGGGUCACCUGAUAGGGCAGGGCCGAGAGGCUGGAGCCCCGCGCUGGGGACUCAGCCAGGGUCCUGCCCACUAACAGUUUGAAAAAUGCUUGCUUUUCUUUCUUCCCACAUCAAGCUGCCGAUUCUCCGUUAUUUUUGAAUUCUCCUUCUCUGUCCUCUCUCCAGAGCUUUGCCAGGCCCGAGACUGAAGAGUCUCAGAGCAUCACCCUUUAGGAAUGUGAAAUGAUUCUGGUCCCAACACAGCUUUGCUUAAUAACACACUUUACAAAUUCAGGGAGCUCGUUUGGGUAAAACAAAGUUUUUCCUUUUCGUCCGUUUUCUGCUUUCACCAAACAAAUUCUAAGAAAGACUGCAACAUCAGCAAUUUGGCAAUUUGGAACUGAAAUAGAGAGUCUAGAGUCUGGAAUCUCAUGUCUUUCUCUGAUUGAAAAAAUAAAAAUUCUUUGAAGUGUAUAAAUUUGUGCUUGGCAGUGCUUCCAUCUGGCGUUGUUUCAUUUUUCACAGACCAAGCCAAAGCAGGAACACUAUUCCUCAACCCUUCAGCACGAAGAUUUUCUGCCCUGUAAACCUUCACAAACCAGGGCAAGAGUCUUCCUGAAAAAGAGUUGUAAGCCUUCUUCCAUCAAGUCUGACCACAGAGAGGAAUCCCCCUAAGUGCCUCCUUCUCAUCUUCCUAAACAUCCUGUCCCCACCUAUAUACCAUGGAACCCAACACCAGGCAAUCAGGCAGGAUAACAACACAGAUCUUGGAACAAAGGAAACUGUUGUCAUUUAAGAACCUCCAAACAAGAAAAUUCCAGACCAACUUGAGACGGUCAUUUCAGUCAUCUAUGGAGCAUCUGCAGGUGUCUCUGGUGAGGUGUUGAGAGUGGGGAUGUCUGAGGCAGCCUGUCUGGGAGGUCCUCAGCUGGAGU